UACGAGGGGUCCUAGCGUUGUUCGGAAUCAUUGGGCGUAAAGCGGGUGUAGGCGGAUCAGUCAGUCAGAUGUGAAAUCCCAGGGCUCAACCCUGGACGUGCAUUUGAUACUGCUGAUCUUGAGUAUCAGAGAGGUUCGUGGAAUUCCGGGUGUAGUGGUGAAAUACGUAGAUAUCCGGAGGAACAUCGGUGGAGAAGUCGGCGGACUGGCUGAAUACUGACGCUCAGACCCGAAAGCGUGGGGAGCAAACAGG
rnacentral:rRNA from 1 species